rnacentral:rRNA from 1 species
AUUGAACGCUGGCGGCAGGCCUAACACAUGCAAGUCGAGCGAGAGGCGAACGGGUGAGUAAUGUAUGGGGACUGCCCGAUAGCGAGGGAUAACUACUGGAAACGGUAGCUAAUAACGCAUACUAUGGGCUAACCGAUAGGGGAUUAGCUAGUAGGUGAGGUAAUGGCUCACCUAGGCGACGAACCCUAGCGGGUCUGAGAGGAUGAUCAGCCACACUGGGACUGAGCCACGGCCCAGACUCCUACGGAGGCAGCAGUGGGGAAUAUUGCACAAUGGGCGCAAGUCUGAUGCAGCCAUGCCGCGUGUAUGAAGAAGGCCCUAGGAUUGUAAAGUACUUUCAGUAGGGAGGCGUUACCGAAAGAAGAAGCACCGGCUAACUCCGUGCCAGCCGCCGCGGUAAUAC